rnacentral:rRNA from 1 species
GCCUGGCCCUAAAUCUUGAUGCUCGAUAUUACCUGAGCAUCCGCCCGAGAACUACGAGCACAAACGCUUAAAACUCUAAGGACUUGGCGGUGCUCCAAACCCACCUAGAGGAGCCUGUUCUGUAAUCGAUGAUCCACGAUAUUACCUGACCAUUCCUUGCACGAAGCAGCCUAUAUACCGCCGUCGCCAGCCCACCUUUCCUGACAGCCCAACAGUGGACGCAAUAGCCUAACCCGCUAGCAAGACAGGUCAAGGUAUAGCCCACGGAAUGGAAGCAAUGGGCUACAUUUUCUAGACUAGAACAUACGGAUAAGGGUAUGAAACUGCCCUUGGAAGGCGGAUUUAGCAGUAAAGAGAGACAAUUGAGCCCUCUUUAAGCCGGCUCUGGAGCACGU